CUGGCAGAACAUCUGGCCUUGAUCUGGAGCCCCAUGUCUGUCUCUCUGUAGAGGUGCACAUGGGCCAAUUUUUCAGAAUGAAUGCAGUGAGCUGAUCUUUUCUCUGUGAUCAAGGCUAUGUUGCCUCUGUGUUAGGCCAAUACGGGAUGCACUGGCGCUGAUUUAAGAAUUCUCUCAUAGUCACAAGACGUAUGGUUGCCUCUGUGUAGGUUCCUGA